UACGGAGGGUGCAAGCGUUAUCCGGAUUCACUGGGUUUAAGGGGUGCGUAGGUGGGCUUGUAAGUCAGUGGUGAAAUCUCCGUGCUUAACAUGGAAACUGCCAUUGAUACUAUAGGUCUUGAAUUAUCUGGAGGUUAGCGGAAUAUGUCAUGUAGCGGUGAAAUGCUUAGAUAUGACAUAGAACACCAAUUGCGAAGGCAGCUGGCUACAGGUACAUUGACACUGAGGCACGAAAGCGUGGGGAUCAAACAGG
rnacentral:rRNA from 1 species